AAACAUACAAUGCAGAGGAUAGAAGAUAAGAAAUCAAAGUAUAUGAAUAAUACAAUGAGAAGUCAUUUUGAAUUUGAUGCUAGCUCUAAAGAUGGCUGCUAAAAGCCUUAUUUCCUCAUGAGUGCAUCAGCUCACACAAAGAUUCUCUUUCAAGUGAGCUGGCAGGUCCGUGAGUUCCCUGUGGCUGUUCUCAAUGACGACUUUCGCAAUCAGGACAUUGGGACGUCUCAAGUUAAAGCAGGAAAAGAAUCUACUCUUUCAAAUUAAGGCUGAGAAGGAGAUGUCAUGGAGUCCUUCAGAACCAACUGAAACAUCUAACACCCUAACACCCUGUAUUGUUGAUACAAAAUUCUCUUUCACUUACUGUGGAUAAGUGAGAGGAGAGGGGUUUUGACAGAGGCCUCUUAAAAUAGACUCAUUAGAAAUUCAUCAGGGUCAGGUUAACCAGCUAAAUGAAGAAAAAUAAAAUGUUCUAACAAUAAUGGUGAAUACAAAUACAGAAAUAUACUGCUGGUGAAGAUUUUUCUUUUAAAUACAUGCUCAGAGGUUCUGAAACAGAACAGUGUUUCCUAUGCCUGGGUGCAUUUCUCUUCUUUCUCUGUCAAGUAACAUCUCUGUGAAGCUCA
rnacentral:lncRNA from 1 species